GGGAUUAGGAUCAACUGAAUUAUU
rnacentral:piRNA from 1 species